rnacentral:lncRNA from 1 species
UCGAGCCGGGGAGGGUGAGCGUAUCGGUAGCAGAGCUAUUUUGGCUUAACUGUUGGUCCAACCCCGCCUAACAUGUGUGACAAACCUAGAACCAGGAGCGUAACCGCACACUGGCUCAUCCUAGACAGAAGUCCCGUGGAGCGUAUCCGCACACACAGUGUAUAACAAAAAUUCCAGAGACUCAGAGAGUGUGCGAAAGGAGGCAAUUUAUAUACAAUUACACAAUAUCAAAACAAUAAUCAUUGAAAUAGCGCAAUUAGUC